GCUCUCCAUAGUGUAGUGGUUAUCAUGUUUGCCUAACAUACAAAAGGUCCACAGUUCGUAACUAAGUGGAAUCU
rnacentral:tRNA from 1 species